GUCUCUGUGGCUCAGUUGGCAAAGCGAUGGACUAGUAAUCCAGAACCGUGAGUUCGUGUCUCGCCGGAGACA